CGUGUAGGCGGCCGACUAAGUCGAAUGUGAAAUCCCAGGGCUCAACCCUGGAACUGCAUCCGAAACUGGUUGGCUUGAGUGUCGGAGGGGAAAGCGGAAUUCCUGGUGGAGCGGUGAAAUGCGUAGAGAUCAGGAAGAACACCAGUGGCGAAGGCGGCUUUCUGGACGACCACUGACGCUGAGACGCGAAAGCGUGGGGAGCAAACAGGAUUAGAUACCCUGGUAGUCC
rnacentral:rRNA from 1 species